rnacentral:rRNA from 1 species
AAGAUCGGAACGGUGAACCCCAGCUUGCUGGGGGGAUCAGUGGCGAACGGGUGAGUAACACGUGAGUAACCUGCCCCUGACUCUGGGAUAAGCCUUGGAAACGAGGUCUAAUACCGGAUACGUGCCGCUCGGGCAUCCGAUGCGGUUGGAAAGAUUUAUCGGUCAGGGAUGGACUCGCGGCCUAUCAGCUUGUUGGUGGGGUAACGGCCCACCAAGGCGACGACGGGUAGCCGGCCUGAGAGGGCGACCGGCCACACUGGGACUGAGACACGGCCCAGACUCCUACGGGAGGCAGCAGUGGGGAAUAUUGCACAAUGGGCGCAAGCCUGAUGCAGCGACGCCGCGUGAGGGAUGAAGGCCUUCGGGUUGUAAACCUCUUUCAGCAGGGAAGAAGCGCAAGUGACGGUACCUGCAAAAGAAGCGCCGGCUAACUACGUGCCAGCAGCCGCGGUAAUACGUAGGGCGCAAGCGUUGUCCGGAAUUAUUGGGCGUAAAGAGCUCGUAGGCGGUUUGUCGCGUCUGCUGUGAAAACUCGAGGCUCAACCUCGGGCUUGCAGUGGGUACGGGCAGACUAGAGUGCGGUAGGGGAGACUGGAAUUCCUGGUGUAGCGGUGGAAUGCGCAGAUAUCAGGAGGAA